rnacentral:rRNA from 1 species
AGGGCCUACGGGGGGCAGCAGUAGGGAAUCUUCGGCAAUGGGGGCAACCCUGACCGAGCAACGCCGCGUGAGUGAAGAAGGUUUUCGGAUCGUAAAGCUCUGUUGUAAGAGAAGAACGUGUGUGAGAGUGGAAAGUUCACACAGUGACGGUAAUUUACCAGAAAGGGACGGCUAACUACGUGCCAGCAGCCGCGGUAAUACGUAGGUCCCGAGCGUUAUCCGGAUUUAUUGGGCGUAAAGCGAGCGCAGGCGGGUGGAUAAGUUUGAAGUUAAAGGCUGGGG